rnacentral:rRNA from 1 species
AGCGAACGCUGGCGGCAGGCCUAACACAUGCAAGUCGAGCGGCCGUAGCAAUACGGCAGCGGCAGACGGGAUAGUAACACGUGGGAACGCGCCCUUCGGUUCGGAAUAACUCAGGGGAAACUUGAGCUAAUACCGGAUACGCCUUACGGGAACGAUUAUUGCCGAAGGAACGGCCCGCGUCGGAUUAGCUAGUUGGUGAGGUAAUGGCUCACCAAGGCGAC